AGUGAACGCUGGCGGUAGGCCUAACACAUGCAAGUCGAACGGCAGCACAGUAAGAGCUUGCUCUUACGGGUGGCGAGUGGCGGACGGGUGAGGAAUACAUCGGAAUCUACUUUUUCGUGGGGGAUAACGUAGGGAAACUUACGCUAAUACCGCAUACGACCUACGGGUGAAAGCAGGGGAUCUUCGGACCUUGCGCGAUUGAAUGCGCCGAUGUCGGAUUAGCUAGUUGGCGGGGUGAAGGCCCACCAAGGCGACGAUCCGUAGCUGGUCUGAGAGGAUGAGCAGCCACACUGGAACUGAGACACGGUCCAGACUCCUACGGGAGGCAGCAGUGGGGAAUAUUGGACAAUGGGCGCAAGCCUGAUCCAGCCAUACUGCGUGGGUGAAGAAGGCCUUCGGGUUGUAAAGCCCUUUUGUUGGGAAAGAAAAGCAGCAGGUUAAUACCCCGCUGUUCUGACGGUACCCAAAGAAUAAGCACCGGCUAACUUCGUG
rnacentral:rRNA from 1 species